rnacentral:rRNA from 1 species
UACAGAGGGUGCAAGCGUUGUUCGGAAUUAUUGGGCGUAAAGGGCGCGUAGGCGGUUCGGCAAGUCUCUAGUGAAAUCUCUGGGCUCAACUCAGAGUCUGCUGGGGAAACUGCCGGGCUUGAGUGUGGGAGAGGAGAGUGGAAUUCCCGGUGUAGCGGUGAAAUGCGUAGAUAUCGGGGAGGAACACCUGUGGCGAAAGCGGCUCUCUGGACCACAACUGA